GACGAACGCUGGCGGCGUUCUUAACACAUGCAAGUCGAACGGAAAGGCCCUGCUUUUGUGGGGUGCUCGAGUGGCGAACGGGUGAGUAACACGUGAGUAACCUGCCCUUGACUUUGGGAUAACUUCAGGAAACUGGGGCUAAUACCGGAUAGGAGCUCCUGCUGCAUGGUGGGGGUUGGAAAGUUUCGGCGGUUGGGGAUGGACUCGCGGCUUAUCAGCUUGUUGGUGGGGUAGUGGCUUACCAAGGCUUUGACGGGUAGCCGGCCUGAGAGGGUGACCGGCCACAUUGGGACUGAGAUACGGCCCAGACUCCUACGGGAGGCAGCAGCGGGGAAUAUUGCACAAUGGGCGGAGGCCUGAUGCAGCAACGCCGCGUGCGGGAUGACGGCCUUCGGGUUGUAAACCGCUUUCGCCUGUGACGAAGCGUGAGUGACGGUAAUGGGUAAAGAAGCACCGGCUAACUACGUG
rnacentral:rRNA from 1 species